rnacentral:rRNA from 1 species
AUGUUCCCUUUUAGCGUUUCUUUCCGUUGUUGCUGCACUCCCUUUUGGGCGUUCAUUUCAUGCCCAGGAUCUUGCAAAUUGUGCCUGUGCCGAGCUUGCUUUAGAGUACGGGCUACGGAGACGUCGAGGACCUCAAGGUCACCGAUGUUGUGGAGCUGGGCGAGGUUUCCACGCAGUUCAUCGACCGCCUGUUCUUCCUGGAGAAGGUCUAGAGAUGAUUUACUCUGCCAGGCGGCAGCACUCAAAGCACACAGGAUCCUGAACCUCAACAACAACCCCUACUUUUCUGGCCCUAAUGAUGCAACGGCCGUGAUGGCGUCGAGGCUCGGGCAUGUGGCCGUCGACGUGGAGCAGGCAGAGGAGAAGCGACUACUACCCCAACGGCAGCCUCUUCUCCCUUGUCCAUGGUACAUAUCAUUUGAUUUGCUGCCUCACGAUUUCCCUCGGCUGGCUUGCGUGUGCAGGUACUAA